UCCGCCUCCCCCUGCCGCCAGCCGUUCUGCAUCUUCCUGAGGGCACGCUUCCUGCGAAGACACAGGGGUCUCAGGCGCAAACCCGGCUACCCCUCCCCAGUCCACUUUGGAGGAGGUUGGGGGCCACCUGCCUACCUGCGAUGCCAGGACACACCCAGGAGGCCAAGCCACAGCUCCAGCCUGGGCUCCAGGCCUUCGUUUCUACAACAAAGCCUGAGGCAGCCCUUGCUGUCAGGGCUCCUGUGCCAGUUUACUCAGGAUUGAUGCUGCAUCUGCUGUAAAGGCCCCCAAGAAACCAGGACCCGGUGCAUCCACCUCCAAGCCUCCACUAGCUGCUGCAGUGCCCGAGAAAGGAGGGUGGUCCCCUUCACAUCCCAGACACUGCACCCCAAGCACUGAGGACAGAGACCUUGUGGUCGGUCACCCCUCAGCCUUUGGGACCACUGCAGGGGGUGCCCAGGGUGAGGAGCCACCCUCCCUGUGAUCAGUCACCCUGAGGCCCCCAGCUGGGGGAGCCCAUCCUGAGACAGCCUUACAUGGGGAAUCAGUGAAAGCUGCUCCUGGUGCAGAGUUGCAAAGGGCUGCUCCCGGCUCCCACCGCCGGCCAGGCCGCCUGGAAAGGAGAGUCAUUCCUGCGGGGUCUGCCCACCCCACCUGCAGGGCCACGCACAGCCAGGCUGCCACACCCCUCCUCGGCAUUGCUGACACCCUGUGGGGCUGUCUUCCAAGGCCUGGUGGGACCCCCACGUGGGUCCAGUGGAGACUGCAUUCUGUAGGUUGCCUGUUCAUUGCCCCAGGAGGCCGCUGGACAGCAACCCAGGCCCAGCACUCCCACCAGUGACUGCCUCUCCCUCCCCACCCCAGGGGACACUUGUCCUGCCAACUGGGGCCCCAGGUUCCACCUGGUCUCUGUGGUCUGUUCUCUGGGUGACCUUGGCCAUUUUACUUAUCCCCCAGCCCCAGCUUCCAGAUCUGUGGAGUGUGGGUGGUGGAAACAGAGACAGGCACAUGUCAUGGGCUGCCUGUGCUGAAGAUGGGCCUUGCUCAGGGCAGCCUAGAGGCCUCUGGGUGCACAGCUGCCACCUCCUACCUUUGUCGGAGAGCUGGCUGCCCCCCAGGCAGGAAGGCCUCGCAGACCUCAGGGGAGCUUAAGCCUGGGUGGGGCCUGAGCUGCACUGCCCCCCAUCACUCCAAAGCAUUUGUGGGCAUGUCAGCCCUGGGGAGAGGGUUGGGGAUGCCACGUUGGCUGUCCUGGCCCUCCCGAGGGGGGGCUGGGGUACUGCGGCAAUUGGGAGAAAACCUUCAGGUGGCUGGACCCCUCAAAACCUGCCAGAACCUGGGCAGACCAGGGAUCAGGAUCCUUGGGCAGAAACCACGUACGUCCAGUCUCAGCUAUGCCCCAGGGAGGGCCAGACCUGGGCCAUCCUGGUGGCUGGCAGCCCCUCCUUAGAGCCAGUAUCCUCCCCUGCUCACCCUCUGACCUUCACACCUGCCCCCUGGGGCUUCUGCCACAGCCACCCCAGGGGAUGGAAGUAGUGCCUGAGCUGGACUCCUGGGUCCUGCUCGCCUCUGCCCACGUGGGGGCUCAGCAUCCCCACGUUCAACUGUUCUGGGCUGCGGCCAAAGGUGCUGGUCUUCACUUCUCCAUCUGCAACUCCAUCUUCCCUUUCCGCCUCAGCUCGAAGGCCACAGCCUGGUGCUCAAGAAGCUUGUCCGACUCCCAUGCAGCCUCCCAGGGCCCCUCCCCCGGGCCCUCCCCGACCCCUGCCUGAUACCACAUUCAGAGCAAACACCUACCCCAUAACCACGGCCCACUCUGGGCACUCAGGCUGCUCCCAGCUAGCAACCCCAGUCCUUCUCCAGACAGGCAGAGGGGUCCUGCCCCACCGCUAGAAGCCCCCGACACUGCCCCGCCCCAUGGCCCCGGGACACAGCAGGCCCUUGGCCACCCCUUCAUUGGGCCCUGUCCCUCAAGCCCCAGGGAGUCCCGUCUCACCCUACUUUCUUUCUCACCCCUAGCCUCGUGCACCUGGGCAUUUGCUCAUUGCCACCUCUCUCUGCCCAAGAGGAAGCUUGGAGCAGGCAGGACUCUGCACCGUGGGGGCUGCCCUAAGGGGCACCACACUCCCCACCACAGGGAACACUUGUCCCACCAACCAGGGCCCUGGGUUCCAACUGGACUCUGGUCUGUUCUCUGGGUGCCAUGUCCAUUUUACUUAUCCCCCAGCCCCAGCUUCCCCAUCUGUGGAGUGAGGGUGGUAGAGGCCGAGACAGGCGUGUGUCACGCACGGCUGCCUGCACUGAAGAUGGGCCUCGCUUGGGGCAGCUGGGAGGCCUCCGGGUGCACAGCCAUCACCUCCUCACCUUUGUCUGAGAGCUGGGUGUCCUCCUCCAGGUCCUGGGGGAGCGAGAGCUUCGGAAGAGAAGCGAGAUGUCCUGUUAGGCCCCUCUGCCAGGGACUGGACCUGGCCACACUGCCCACCCCAGCUCUUGGCCAUCGCUGUCACCCCCUGCACAGAGCUUCUCAGCGACUCAGGCACCCAGCCAGGAAGGUCCUGCCAUGAGGGUGCCAGGAGGUGGGCACUGUCCUUACCCUUUGAGCUGUCGGAGGCCUUAGUGUGUGGCUGCUUGCUCUUCCUCCACCCAGCCUGGCCACCAAGGAGGACCAUGUGACGGGAAGUGUGGGGUUAUGCCUGGUGGCAGCUCAGGUGAAGGAGGGGCAGCCCUAUGCUGGCUGGGGUCUCACUCACCUCCUGGGAGCUCCUAGGUGAGCCAUCCUCCAGGUCGGAGCUCUGCGGUCAUAGAAAAUGGGGUGAGUAGGCAGGCUGUGAGGGCCUAGGGCUCCCCAGACAUGGAGUGGACAGGGAACAAGAGUGGGAUCCUCCGGGGGGCCCUGGGCAUGCCCUCAGCCACAACAACCCCCUCCAUGAACAGAACCACCUGCUAGGCUACCUGAUGGCCAGGCCCAGGCCCCACCCCAGCCCUGCAGCCCACUUCCUACUGGGGCCCCAAUCUGCCCCUCUGCCCUCACCCCCCUUCGAGGAGGGGCUCCGUUAGGUUGGGGCCCAUCACAGAGGAGGAUUGGGUAAGGAAGGCCAGGGCCAGGGUAUCCUGAGGCUCCAUGCUCCCCGAGCCCUGUACCCCCUCAGCUCCCCUCCCUGCCCCAUGCACCAGGCCCACCAGGACGAGCAUCUCCAGCUGCUGCCGCCUGAGCCUGCCCUCCACGGCCAGGAGCUGCGCCUCACGCUGGAACAGCUGCAGCUGCAGCUCAUCAGCCUUCUCGCCCAGCUCCCGCACGUGCUUGCGCAGCACGUCCUUCUCCUGAAGGCCCCGGGCGUGCAGGGUGUGCAGCUCCUCCCGUGUGGCGAUGGCCUGACAGGACAGUGCAAGACCAACCCUCAGUGAGGCCCCAAGCUCACCCUGGGUCCUUAGCCUGACCACCCAACUCCCAGCACAGGCCCCGAGGACAUCCAGCCGCUGGCUGCAGUGGCCAGCCCCAGUCCCUCCCUUUUUGUGCUCUGCGGACAUGAAGCCAGCAUUUGAGGGAUUGUAAAGGUGACACUUAAAACAAUAUAAGGAAGGCUCACCCUCAGAAUAGGCCCUGCAGCCCUCCUCUGUCUCCUCCCAUGCCUGCACCCCCGGUGGACACAGCGUGUGCUAUGCACCCCUACACAUGCACACGGGAUGAAUUUUGGAUGCAGCUUGAUAUGGAGAACCUGACCCUCCAUAGCUAAAACUCCUUCAUGAACGCAGCAUGCUUUACCAUCCCUGUCCCUGCCGCAGACGCUGAGGCACAGGAGCAAACAUGCAGACAGAAGACGGCCUGACCACCCACGCAGCAGAGGCUGAGAGGGCCUCACCUAACGCCUGCCCACUCAGCUUCCCUAAUCCCUGCCCACUCCCCCUCCCUGCACAGCCCCAAGGGAGGUCCUGUCUCGGGAGCAGCCCCAACCCCCACGCAGCACAGCUGAACCUGCCCUUUCUUCUCCAACUUGGGGUGGGCUAGGUGUGAGUGAGGCUGUGGUGGGGCCCCUACAGGAGCUCCAAGCCUGAGCUUCUCUCUCGGGGGCAGGGGCUUCCUUUAUGGCCCCAGGGGUCUCGUUUUAAGGCUCCUGAUUCAGGCAAACCACAGUCCAGCAUUCGCUGAAGCAGCAAUGGUGUCCAUCAGAAACAACCUCAGAAUGGGACUUGGGACGGGACCUGGGAAGCAGACACAGCCCUGUCCUUGCUGCCGCCUCAGCCUCUCAAAUAUCUGGGGCCACAGGCGUGGGCCACCAUGUCAAAUUUUUUUUUUUUUUUAGAUGGAGCCUCACUCUGUCACCCAGGCUGGAGUGCAGUGGCACGAUCUCAGCUCACUGCAACCACCGCCUCCUGGAUUCAAGUGAUUCUCCUGCCUCAGUCUUUUGAGUAGCUGGGAUUACAGGUGCCCACCAAUAUGCCUGGCUAAUUUUUGUAUUUUUAGUAGAGAAAGCGUUUCACCAUGCUGGCCAGGCUGGUCUCAAACUCCUGACCUCAAGUGAUCUACCCACCUCGCCCUUCCAGACUGUUGGGAUUACAGGGUUGAGCCACCCCAUCCAGCCAAGAUUGUUUUUCAAGAUUAAAAAAAGCUACUGCCCCCACCGUGAGCACCCACCUGGUCCCGCUCGACAGCGACCUCCUCCAUCUGCAACAGGAUGGCCUCGAUGCGGUCCUUGUACACCUUGCAGUCCUUGCGCAGGGCCCGACACUGCAGCUCCAACAUCUCCUU